GAUGAACGCUAGCGGCGUGCCUAAUACAUGCAAGUCGAGGGGAAGGACCAUCAGCUUGUUUCUCUUGUGUUAGCUGCGGACGGGCAAGUAAGACGAGGACGACCUACCUAUAAGACUCGGAUAACUUCAAGAAUCCGAAGGUAAUACCAGUGAAUAUUUUCAUCCCCAGAGGUCAUAAGUAAAGGACGGUCUUGCUGUCAGUUAUGGAUGGGUAUGCGCUUGAUUAGCUAGUUGGCGAGGUGACGGCUUACCAAGGCAACGAUCAGUAGGGGUUCUGAGAGGAAGGGACCCAACAUUGGAACCGAGACACGGUCCAAACUCAGACGGGAGGCAGCAGUGAGGAAUAUUGGUCAAUGGGCGAGAGACUGAACCAGCCAAGUAGCGUGCAGGAUGACGGCCCUAUGGGUUGUAAACUGCUUUUAUAAGGGAAUAAAGUGGGUCACGUGUGACUUUUUGAAUGUACCUUAUGAAUAAGGACCGGCUAAUUCCGUG
rnacentral:rRNA from 1 species